rnacentral:lncRNA from 1 species
UGUUACUUUCGUCUUCGCUUUCCCAUAUUUUUUCAAUGGUAUGUCCCAAAAUCAUUUUACAAUUGGAUUCAAGUUAAGUGAAUUCAUUUGACAUCAUAAUGAACAUCCUGCAAAACUCUCUAUGAAUCUAUUUUUCUAAGAGCAUCCCACACUUGAUGUGAGCAAAGUGAUGCCUGUUAAAUAUCAACAAUGGUUUAAAAACAUUAUGUAACCCAGAUUACUGAAGGGUUAUAUUUGUACAUUUAUAAAAUAAUAUAAAUGAUCAGGGGAUAAAACAACAUAUAACUGUGGAUUCAUUGUUCUAAAAUGUUCUUAAUAAGAAAUAAAUUGUUUAAAAAUAAUAAUGUGAAAUAUUCACAUGUUAUUGGUUUAACCAAUCAGUGAUGUGUGGGAGGGAUUUGCGCUUGCUGACGCAGUGGGAAGAGAUCGCCAGACUGUGGAGGAAGAGAGAGUGAGAUCGCUAGAUUUGAUGAUUUAAACUGUGAAAUUAGAUUAUAACUUUGAAACUAGUUUGAGAAACUUACAGAAAGCUUUCAUAGAGAAGUAUUUGAAGAGGAUUCAGUCGUUAAAUUGUUCCUGUGACGAUCGAUGGGAAAAUUGCAUCAUUGUGUUGUUGAGUGAAUAUAUGGACAUGGUCAGGUUUUUUUUCUUUGGUGUUUUUGAUUGAAGACUGAUUCACAUUGAUGGCGGGCCAACCUAUUCGGACACUAGAAAAGGAAACUGGAAAUUCACCCUACUGAACCAGGAGAGUACUUUAAUACUUUUUAUUUUUCCAGCUCAAGGUAAAAGACUGUUUUUUUCCGUUUCUGGAUAGAGACUGUUCGUGUUUUUCCCUGAGAACUGAUUAAGAAAAAAGACUAAUACCAGCGCACGGACACUUGAAAAUCAAACUAUUUUCCUUUUGAAGUGAAAUGAGAAAUACUGAGUUUGUUGAUUCUGAACAAGUGGUUUUCUUUACAUUUUCAAUGUAAUUUCAAUUGAACUUUAUUUUGUUUUAUUGUGUUUUAAUUGUUUUAUUGUAUUUUGUUAAUUUUAUUUUGGGGAAAGAUCUGCAGAAAAAUAUAUCUAUAAACAUUUCAAAUACUUACCUAUAUAGUGGUUUCUGUCAUUUUUCAGCAAAUGCUCAUUACCUCCAGUAGACGAAUCCUAGGCUUCUGAUGUCCAGAUUGAUUUGAUAGUGUAACCUGUUACAAUUACAUUUCAAUAGUAAAAAAUCCUGAAUGGUUGAAAGUGGAGAGAGGUGUCUGGAUGCAGACCUAGUGCAGUGCAAUCUGAGCUGCAUCCAAUGCUUUUUAAUGCGCUCACCAAACCCCAUCCCUAACCCUACCCCUCACCGUGAUGUCACUCACUCCAUUGAGUUCAUUGUGUCUGGCUUUGCAUCGCUGAGUGAUGCAAUCUCAGCUUGCAUCAUAAAGGCUGCAUCCAGAUACUAUUGAAAGUGGAAAACUAAAAAAGUAUUUUUUGUUUGUUUUGUCACAAAUAUUUGUAAAAAGUCAGCAUAAAGUAGUCUUUGUUUAUCAGGAAUACAUCUUUUAUAUGACAAUAAGACCUAUAAUCCUUCUGGGCAGCAGUACAGUAAAUGUACAUUGUACAGCUAAUCAAUUUUUCUGUAUAGGUUAUGUAUGAAGUUAUGAUAGCAGAAGUGUAACUUUCAGUAGCAUAAAACAAUCCAGGAACUCUGAAAAUAUAAAACUGAAAGAAAAAAGACAUUCAAAGAUUACUUUUUAUUCAUACCACAUUUAACCCUUUGAUGCACACGCUAUGUAAAACCACUUCUAAUGCACAACAUGAGUCUAAAAUGACCCACAUUUCUUAUGUAAGUUCAUGCUUGGCUGGGAUUUGUUUAGUUUCAUCUUUUGAAAUCAGUUUAUCUCAGUAUAAAGCUUUCCUUUAUAGAAACACUCCCCAAUAUACCAACAAAACAUGCAAAUAAAUAAGGAUUUGUGAAAAACAAGUUAUUGAGAAAUUCUUGAAAUACCAAGUGAAGAAAUUGAUUUAUUUCAAAGAUAGAGAAAGUCAGAAAUCAGUCGGGGCACUUUAGACACAUAUGUCCAUCAAAGGGUUAAUUGGUGCAUUUGCUGUGUGAAGGCUUUGCUGCUACUAUUUUAUUGUCCUCUCAGAAGUGUCAGGUAAAAUCAACUGAUCACAAGGCCCAUAGACAUAUGCACAAUUCCACAUCAGUAAUAUGAACAGAACUGUUUAGUAAAUGUCAAGCUGUUUUUAUCCUAUAGUAGAUUGGAAUAACUGUAUACUGUUUCCAAAUUGCUUUACAAAUAAAAGUUGGUGGAAAAUGAUUGUUAAUGUUGUGCUUUUGUAUUUAUUUAUUUUUUUCAGUGUUAUAGUAUUGUGUAUGCAGAGCUCCACGAAGCACAGAAAGAAACCCUCUGCUUGACAAAAAAAGGUUGUUACCUGAGGUGUUCAGGUGCUGGAAGGUGGUGGUGAUGAAGUGAAAGUCCUCAGAGUAUGGAGCUGCUUGGUGCUGCUGGGUUUGUUGAACUUCAGAUUCACCCCUCUCAUUUUGAGAACCUGUACCCCUUGUAACCAUUCCUGACUGGUUCCUCUUAUGGAAGAAAAAGCAUUUCUUAAGAAUGAUGAUUGCAUUGUAUUAUGUUGCCACCAGAUUUAAGUUCUACAGGUGAGAUAGCAGUGUAAAUAUAAAUAAUAAUAAUUCAGUGUCAAGAACAGGAGAAGGCAGUCAAAUGCUGUUUACAAGUUGUAGCAUGUUACAAACAUGUUAUAAAACAUUUGAUAUAUUUUAUAUAGAUAAGCAUAUAUGGUAUUGAAAAGUCUGUAAGUUUAUUUUUGUUUCAAGAUCUGUCUUAAUGAGAAAUACUAAAGAAAAACAUUUUUUUAAUUAUAUUAAAAAUUAAUAUAAUUAAUUAUUAAUAUAAUUACUUUUAAUUAUUAUAUAAAAAAAUUUCUGUUAUACCGAUCCUAAGGUAUGCGUUUGAUUUUUUAUUUACUUUAUUUGUUUGUUUGUUUGUUUUUUAGGACAACAGUAUCUCCAGCAGGAAAAAAAAUGCCCAAAAGUUUCAUUUUAAAUUGUAAAGAAAUCUGUGUUUUUGAAACUAAUGAAGACAGCAGAAGUCUAUGAUUCAUUUGUAUUAUUUAGCCUGACAUAUUUACUACUCCAAAAUAAUUUAAUCUUUCAAAAAAAAAAAAAAUAUUGUCUUCAGAGGGAAAUUAUUUUGUUGUUUUUUACCCAGACAUUAUUUUAGAGUAGUAAUCACAAUAUAGUGAAACCGUGAUAUUUUUAUCCAAGGUUAUCAUACCAUUAUAAUCUUAUACUGAACCAUGCCUAUUUGAAAUCACUGGAAGGAGAGUACUGUAAAUAGUGAGUACAGUUUAAUUUUUUUGUGAACUGUCCCUAUAAGUGAGAAACAUAAACACUCAUUUCUUAGAAGCUCGGGUAGGGUGACAUUUAAAAAAGGAAGUAAAUACUUUCUCUUUAAAUGUUAACAAAAGAGUUUACAUACAACGCUUUUAGAGAUUAUAGGACAACUGGAGACAUCAAUGUUUUUUUUCUACAAACACCAAGUCUAUAGACUCUCUUACCGGCUUGUUUGAUAUUUAGACAAAAAAGUAAAUCAUAAACCACACACACACAAACCAUGUCCAUAAAAUGUUUAUAAUAAAUGACAUCAAUCAGAUUCAAGUCUGAAUUACAAUCGCACACCUUUUAAAAAUAACAAACUAUCUAAAUAAAUUAAAUAUUAUAUAUUUUGUGCGCCUUUACUUAACGAAAAUUUUAUGUUCAUAACUUAUGUUCAAAACCAUGCACAUGCUGCUCCUUCAGAUUAACCACAAACCAAUACAUUUUCCAACUAAAUAAACUAAACUCAAAAAACUAUAUUGCUUGUUCAGACUACUUAUUAAAAAUGAGCUGAAA